GAGGAUAUCCGGGGUAAAGUAGGAGUAGCCGAAAUUGAAGGAAAGAUGAGAGAAAAAUCGGUUACGGUGGUUUGGACAUGUGCAAAGAAGGCCUACUGACGCUCCGAUUAGAAGAUGCGACUAUGGGACAGAGGUUCAGGGCCGAAGGGGUAGAGGAAGACCUAGGAAAACUUUGGAAGAGACUCUAAGAAAAGACUUAGAGUACUUGGAUCUAACGAAGGACAUGACACAGGAUCGAGCACAAUGGCGUUCUAAGAUUCAUAUAGCCGAUCCCACUCAGUGACUUGGAUUUUCCAAGUCUCCAACCGAGAAGUUUUCCUCACUCGGGAAAUUAAGGGAACACUACCCCAACCUACAUGCUCCACUCAGAAAGCUUCAACAUACAAGCUUCAACAAAAGAAAAUUCAAAGAACUUAGCGAAGAAGGCUUUGGUGUAUUUAACACAAUACGUUGAAAUGAAGGAAAGCUUAUUUAUUGAUAUCCCCGAUAAGCUACAAAUAUGUACAUAUACAUGAGUCAAAAUAAACACACAAGAGGGAGCCUUCACAAAGGUUGCUUAGGAGAAGUCUCAGCAGUCGGUAGAGCCCCAGAAAGAGAAGGCACCGGAGGGGGAUCAUUUGGAGCCUCAGUACUGGACAGAACCCUAGAAGGAGGAGGCAUCAGAGGUUGAUCAUUUGGAGCUUCAUUACGCGGUACAGCCCCAGAAGACGAAGGCAAUAAAUGCCUUUGGAACAAACCCACAAAUCUCUGAUGAUCAAGUAAAACCUGACCAUCAGUUUCCUUCAUCUGGUCAAGCUUCCUCUUCAUGUUUGUAGCAUAGUCAUGUGCGAGCCGGUGCAACUGUUUAUUCUCAUGCUUGAGCCCUCUAAUCUCCUGUUUGAGACUCAUCACUUCAGCCGCCAAUGAUUCAACUUGGCGGGUUCGAGCAAAUAGGCGUUGGGCCAUAUUAGACACAGAACCUGCACACUGAACACUGAGAGCCAGCGAAUCCUUAACAGCUAACUCAUCAGACCGUUUGGAAAGUAGUCUGUUAUCUUUGGGAGUGAGAAGGUUCCUGGCCACCACCGCAGCGGUCAUAUCAUUCUUCAUCACGGAAUCCCCAACGGUAAGAGGACCAGUAGGGGAGACGAAGGAUGGGCGCCAUAUGUUGUCUGGAGAAGGCGGGGCUGCCUCUUCAACAAGGUUCAAGUCAAAACGACGGUCGGAGGGGCCAGACAUUUUCAAAGGUGUUGAAGAGAGAAGAGGUCGGACAAAUCAAGAUCUUAGAAGUGCAAGAAUGAAGCUUCUACUGGUGGAGAUUCAAGUGUGCUUUGGAACUUAAUGCCAGCCCCUAUAAAAAUCUGCACUCGACGGAGCUUCAGAAAUCGAAGAGGCGCCUGCUCAGAAAUCGAAGAGGCGUUUGCUUUCUCAAAAGCUGGGCUGCUUAGAGAUCACGAGGGUUGAUCUCAGAAAUCGAAGAGGCGUUUGCUUUCUCAAAAGUUGGGCUGCUCAAAGACCACGAAGGCCGAUCUCAGAAAUCGAAGAGGCGCUCGCUUUCUCAAAAGCUGGGCUCCCCAGAGACCACGAGGGCCGAUCUCAGAAAUCGAAGAGGCACCUACUUUUCCAGCCUUGUCAGCACCUGUCACACGCACACUCAGCUUUGCGGAAAUUAUGGGCAUUCUGUCGAAGACUUCUGGGGAAGUAGAAAACACAUGAAUCUUACUGUUCAAUCACCCACUUCCCACACGCAACAAUAGCUCAUGGGUACCACAGAUAACUUUGCCAAAGUUCUCUGCCAAAGUUGAGCACGUGAAGCUUGCAGCUCCCACUACAUCGCUCUGACCAAGAAGGGUAAAAAAAUAGCAAAGAAACAGCACUAACAAAGUUUAGACCCAUAAAUUUUGAAGGUCUAGCUACCAUAUUAUUACCCACAAGGGUAAAGGAACAGUACCACUGCUGGAUAAUUGGAAAGUCCCUGUGUGUCAACCUCUGUGCUUCGUGGCAAGGUAGACUAGCAAACAUGCCCAACCUUUACUCACAUUCGAGAAAACACUCCCAAUAAGAUUGCUUGCUCCAAAAUCGAAGAGGCACCGUCCUCCGAAUCUCGAGAGCCAGACUCCCAACAUGACUACUUUCUUAAAAAUCGAAGAGAGGGUAAAGGAACAGUACCAUUGCUGGAUAAUUGGAAAGUCCCUGUGUGUCAACCUCUGUGCUUCGUGGCAAGGUAGACUAGCAAACAUGCCCAACCUUUACUCACAUUCGAGAAAACACUCCCAACAAGAUUGCUUGCUCCAAAAUCGAAGAGGCACCGCCCUCCGAAUCUCGAGAGCCAGACUCCCAACAUGAUUACUUUCUCAAAAAUCGAAGAGACACUGCUCCCCGAAUCUUCGAGAGCCAGACCCCCAGCAUGAUUGCUUUCUCAAAAAUCGAUGAGGCAUCGUUCUCCGAAUCAAUCGAAGAGGCGCUCGCUUUCUCAAAAGCUGGGCUGCUCAGAGACCACGAGGGCCGAUCUCAGAAAUCGAAGAGGCACCUACUUUUCUAGCCUUGUCAGCACCUGUCACACGCACACUCAGCUUUGCAGAAAUUAUGGGCAUUCUGUCGAAGACUUCUGGUGAAGUAGAAAGCACAUGAAUCUUACUGUUCAAUCACCCACUUCCCACACGCAACAAUAGCUCAUGGGUACCACAGAUAACUUUGCCAAAGUUCUCUGCCAAAGUUGAGCACGUGAAGCUUGCAGCUCCCACUACAUCGCUCUGACCAAGAAAGGUAAAAGAAUAGCAAAGAAACAGCACUAACAAAGUUUAGACACAUAAAUUUUGAAGGUCUAGCUACCAUAUUAUUACCCACAAGGGUAAAGGAACAGUACCACUGCUGGAUAAUUGGAAAGUCCCUGUGUGUCAACCUCUGUGCUUCGUGGCAAGGUAGACUAGCAAACAUGCCCAACCUUUACUCACAUUCGAGAAAACACUCCCAACAAGAUUGCUUGCUCCAAAAUCGAAGAGGCACCGUCCUCCGAAUCUCGAGAGCCAGACUCCCAACAUGACUACUUUCUCAAAAUCGAAGAGAGGGUAAAGGAACAGUACCAUUGCUGGAUAAUUGGAAAGUCCCUGUGUGUCAACCUUUGUGCUUCGUGGCAAGGUAGACUAGCAAACAUGCCCAACCUUUACUCACAUUCGAGACAACACUCCCAACAAGAUUGCUUGCUCCAAAAUCGAAGAGGCACCGCCCUCCGAAUCUCGAGAGCCAGACUCCCAACAUGAUUACUUCCUCAAAAAUCGAAGAGACACUGCUCUCCGAAUCUCGAGAGCCAGACCCCCAGCAUGAUUGCUUUCUCAAAAAUCGAAGAGGCAUCGUUCUCCGAAUCUCGAGAGCCAGAUACCACAGACCACUUUUUCAAAGUGCUCUGACAGAGUUAAAACAUGUGAAACUGGCAGCUCCCACUACCGUGCUAUGACCAAGCAGGGUAAAGGAAUAGCAUUACUACUUGUUGUUAGGGAGACUCCUAUAUAUGUCGACCUCCAUCCCCAACGGACAGGCAGACCUGCAAAAAUGCUCAACCCUUCAUCAUAUCUGAGAGGGCACUCCCAACGAAGCCUUUCGAAAUAUUCAGCUUUCUUUCCCCCCGAUAAUACCUCUGCAAACAAGCUAUACUAGAGCAAGAAUAUCUCAUAUCAUCAGGGUUAAAAGCAAGAGUAUCCCAUAUCAUGCUUUUUCCCUGUCUUUUCCUUUGGCCUUGUUUUUACCUGCAAGACAAGGAGAAAGAGAGCAAUCAGUCAGCACUUGGAAUCAAGCUUCCAGCCAGGAACUGACUGCCUGGAACCCCUUACCUGAUUACUUACCUGGCAUUGCUCUCGAGUACUCAUCUUCAACAUCUUAUGUUUCCAGGGAAGAUUCCGCAUCUGCUUGAGGAACAGAUAGGGCAAGUGCGAAGGAUACAAGGAAGCAUGUGGAGACAAGCGUAACAGCACACGUGCCGAUACAUCCAUUACUCUGUCAAAAGCAAAAGUAUCCCAUAUCAGCAGGGUGGAACGUACUCUAGAUUUGAUGGACUUGUUUUGACCCUCAAAUUCUUCAGUCGGCCUUAUACUCUGGAGGAAACCAGAAAACCCUCCAGCUCAGUUCAAGAAUAAGCCUGUGGAAAGUUACUUCUUCAAAAGCAAAAGUAUCUCAUAUCAUCUCUUCUCAUUUUUCUUCUCUUUAUCCUUCAUGCUGCUGCAAGAUGGGGAGAAGGUGAACAAUCAGUCGGAGCUCUGAUUGCUUACCUUGUCUGUCACCUCUUUCAGCAGACCCCCUAGCUCGGCGACUUGGGGGACUCCUACUACAUGGUUUGUAUCGCGCUUGACCAAGCCUGAAACUACAAGUAAGCUUCAAGUGAAAUUGAUACAUUACCUUGUGCAUCUCCACCAGUUAAAGAUACCACCCCUGGAUGGAGGAAGAGUACUUCCAGAGAAGAUGCCACAUCUACCUAUGAGACAGAUAAGGCAAGUCAAGACGACACCACACUCCGAUACUUAGAAGUUUCGUGAUUACGAGAUCAUUCUCCCACAAUAUUUCCUAAUGUCAUUUGUACUAAAUCAUUCACUUGUACUCACUAAAGGAGAGCUUGAACCUAUGUACUUGUGUAAACCCUUCACAAUUAAUGAGAACUCUUCUAUUCCGUGGACGUAGCCAAUCUGGGUGAACCACGUACAUCUUGUGUUUGCUUUCCUAUCUCUAUCCAUUUAUAUACUUAUCCACACUAAUGACCGGAGCAAUCUAGCGAAGAUCACAAAAAGCGACCGUUUUCGCUACCUAGGAUCUAUCUUGCAAGAGAACGGAGAAUUAGAUGGAGAUCUCAACCAUAGAAUACGAGCUGGAUGGAUGAAGUGUAAGAGUGCAUCCGGCGUGUUGUGUGACCGUCGUAGGCCACUGAAGCUCAAGGGAAAAUUUUAUAGGACGGCAAUAAGGCCAGCGAUGUUGUAUGGCACAGAAUGUUGGGCGGUGAAGCAUCAACACGUACACAAAAUGGGUGUAGCGGAGAUGAGGAUGCUUCGUGGGAUGUGUGGGCACACGAGAAAGGAUAAGAUUGGGAAUGAGGAUAUCCGAGGUAAAGUAGGAGUAGCCGAAAUUGUAAAAAGAUGAGAGAAAAUCGGCUCCGGUGAUUUGGACAUGUGCAAAGAAGGCCGACUAACGCUCCGGUUCGAAGAUGUGACUACGGGACAGAGGUUCAGGGCCGAAGGGGUAGAGGAAGACCUAGGAAAACUUUGGAAGAGACUCUAAGAAAAGACUUAGAGUACUUGGAUCUAACGGAGGACAU
rnacentral:lncRNA from 1 species